GCACUCGCUUCAGUAGCACAGAUGCUAAAACUGGAUUGAUCCAAAGGUUAGCAUGGCCCCUGCGCAAAGAUGACACCCAAACUCGUGAAGCAUUCCACAUACUG
ensembl:snRNA U6 U6 spliceosomal RNA